rnacentral:tRNA from 1 species
GCCUGGGUAGCUCAAUCGGUAGAGCGUGUGACUCUUAUUCCCCCAAGAAUAAAUCUCAAGGUCGCGGGUUCGAGCCCCGCCUCGGGCU